UACGUAGGGUGCAAGCGUUGUCCGGAAUUAUUGGGCGUAAAGAGCUCGUAGGCGGUUUGUUGCGUCGGCUGUGAAAUCCCGAGGCUCAACCUCGGGUCUGCAGUCGAUACGAGCAAACUAGAGUGUUGCAGGGGAGACUGGAAUUCCUGGUGUAGCGGUGAAAUGCGCAGAUAUCAGGAGGAACACCGGUGGCGAAGGCGGGUCUCUGGGCAACAACUGACGCUCAUGCACGAAAGCGUGGGGAGCAAACAGG
rnacentral:rRNA from 1 species